GUGGCGAAGGCGGCUUAUUGGACGAUAACUGACGAUGAGGCUAGAAAGGGGGGGGAGCAAAAAGAAUUCGUUUCCCUGGUUGUCCGCGCCGUAAACGAAGAAUAAUAGGUGUUGGGAAGCAUUGCUUUUCGGUGCCGUCGCAAACGCAGUAAGUUAUUCCACCUGGGGAGUACGUUCGCAAGAAUGAAACUCAAAGGAAUUGACGGGGACCCGCACAAGCGGUGGAGCAUGUGGUUUAAUUUGAAGCAACGCGAAGAACCUUACCAAGUCUUGACAUCCUUCUGACCGGUACUUAACCGUACCUUCUCUUCGGAGCAGGAGUGACAGGUGGUGCAUGGUUGUCGUCAGCUCGUGUCGUGAGAUGUUGGGUUAAGUCCCGCAACGAGCGCAACCCUCAUCUUUAGUAGCCAGCGGUUCGGCCGGGCACUCUAGAGAGACUGCCAGGGAUAACCUGGAGGAAGGCGGGGAGGACGUCAAAUCAUCAUGCCCCCUAUGACUUGGGCUACACACGUGCUACAAUGGCGUAAACAAAGGGAAGAGAAGCUGUGAAGCCGAGCAAAUCUCAAAAAUAACGUCUCAGUUCGGACUGUAGUCUGCAACCCGACUACACGAAGCUGGAAUCGCUAGUAAUCGCAGAUCAGAAUGCUGCGGUGAAUAAAAUCCCGGGUCUUGCACA
rnacentral:rRNA from 1 species